ensembl:ncRNA asRNA:CR46263 antisense RNA:CR46263
UACACGCCAUAGUUGAACUGCAGCACGGCUGUAAAAUGGAGGAGCAACUGCACCGCCUUGUUAAAACCCGGCGAAGUGGAACCUUUGCUAGUCGAUUUUGACUUGGGCUUGGCCAUGUUGAAUCUCCUGGUGCCAGAUAUGUACUGAUUGUGGAGUAGCCAGAGUCCAGUCACUAGCAGCAAGGAAUAUACGAUUGCAUACAGUAGUCACUCACUAAGCACACCUCCAAACAAUCGUGAAACUCUUCAAAGUAUUGCUACAACAUGCUCGACUGUUCACUAAUGAAUUGGCAGAAGCUAAAAUGAAAUCCGAAAGCGGUCGCUUAAUCCGCAUCGGUACGCCUCCGUCCCACGUCCCUAGAUCCGUGCAUAUCUACGGAUUCAUAUCCUAUGGCAACUGGGGGAGGCACGUGCCUUCCCAAGCGUGUCUAUGAAUAGAUACGGAUACACAUGAGCCACAUUUAUGAGCCGGGGGACAAAGGCUUCUGGAAAUAUCUUCGCAGCUAAUGGCAACUAUCGUUUCCCGGUCCCAUCACCACCAAUCCACCCCCUGUGAAGGUCAAGGAACAAGGCCAUCGCGACAAAAGGCACCGCUAACUGAAUUACCUGGUAAAAUUAUCAGGUGCUCUCUUGGUUCUUUGCCCUUUCGUUACACGCGAUGCAUCGAUUGUGCGUUAGUAAUUGAUUCACUGAACAAUAAUAUCCGAAAAUAUUCACGCAGAUCCGCCUACAACUUGUAAAUAGAGUUAAUUACUGGACCAUCUGCGCCCAGGAACAUUUAUAAUGUAAUCAUAACAAAUACUUUAAUAAGCAGAUCUAUUAAUAUACAUAUAUAGAACACACAAUCUUAAAAUUGUACAUCAGAUUAUACGUGAUGCUCCAUUGGUGCUUUCGAAUCAGGUUUCUAUGUCUUAUUUUUGAGAAUCUUAAUUAGAUGGUCUCCUCGUCGGUGUCCGCCUCGCAGGUUUCCAAAUUGAUUUCCGUAAGCUCCUGUUCAUCCACCACACUUCUGGCGUCCAGAUCACCAGUCUCCAUUUUGGGGACACUCAGGAUUUCAUCCUGCUCCUGCGACUCCUUGGCAGCCUCCUCCAAAGCUCCUCCCUGCUCAAACAUCGGAUUGUCAAAGGCUCGCUCCCUCACCUCGCCACUUUCCGGAUCGUAAGCCAUAAUUCCCAGACGAUCCACACCAGAAGCUCCUCCUUCACUGGAUCCACCCUCUGCGCCACCAUUGUCGAAGCGGUUAAACAGCAGAUUCCGGCGCAGUCUCAAUCCCAAGUGACGCCACCUCCAAAGACGGGGGUCGUGGAUCCACUGUGGUAUGCGGUUUAGGUAGGGGUUCUCAGGCAUAAAGUGCGCCAAAAUGACCACAGAAACCAGACCCACCAGUGCCAUGCAGAAAAGGAUGAGAACAAUCGAGGAGAAGCUAACAUUCGGAUUAUAGGGUCGACCAGAAACUUUUAACGUUGUUCCUGUCUUGUUCCAAUUGUGUUCGUUUUGCUGUAGAAACUCCAAGCUCCGUUCACUAUAUUUAUGGCGAUCAGUUACCACCGCCUGCAGGCAGUUUCCAAACUUCUGGGAGCCCACAAACUCCACGUGUAGGCCGAUCUGAUCCUUCAGGCUCUCCUGGCUGAUGAGGUUACUUAUCUGGGCCACCAACUCCUUUCUACUGCCCUCGGUGCAGUGGGUCGUGGGCGUGGAUAGAAUGGCCCCGCAGAUUAGGCAGCACGAUCCCAAGGGUCGAACUGGAGACAAGCAGUGGGGCGUCUCGCACUGCUCCUGGACAUUAUGGCAAACGGGUUCCAGCAGUCGCUCGAAGUCCUU